rnacentral:tRNA from 1 species
AAAACCCUCCCUAGUGCU